CGAUGUGAUCUCCACUCUCUCCGAUGUUACAACGUCAGUGGUUUGUAAACGGGAUAUGUGAGCUGCCUAUUUCUAUGUUUAUAGAGUUGGGACAUGUUUUCUGGCUCAGAGUGAGCGCUCCUUAGUUUGUUGGUUUGCUUGGGGCGUGUCAGACUGAGUGCUCCCUACUUUGCGAGGAUCUUUGUAAACAGUAUGGAGAUCAACACGUGGAGCAGAGACGCCAUGUAAACUGUGUUAGUGUCUGUGAUGCUUGAGCCUUGGAGAAUAUUUGUCUAAAGAACUGCCAGAACUUUUCUUCAGCCAGUGUUAUAAUUACACCACAUGUGUCCGGAGCCCAUGAAGAGGGCACUACUGAAGUGAAAAUUGGAGGGAAAGUGACAUUUUGGCAGGGGGGACUGUGACAUGCCACUUCUAACAAAUCAGGACUCAAUAAAUGUUCCAUCUCCACUGCUGUGAAAUCAGUCACCAUGUUGUGCUUCAUGUUACAUUAGGCUACAGGACAUUAUAGGGAAUAUCUGCCAAGUCUCAUGAUUUUCAGUGGGGUCUCCUGGUUUUUAACCCUUUCUCUCGCUAAUCUCCCGAUUUUGAUUUAUGUACAUCGGGUUUCUCAGGUGAUUCUGUGUUGCCAGAUUAGAUUGGAAGACAGUAUCAGCUCCUUCAUCAUGUUACGCUUACUUUGUAUCGUGGUAUCCAGGCAACCCAGUCUGGAGUAUAUAUCUCACACACACACACAGCCUCAUGUGUUCUGUUCUGCUCUGUCACAAGACGUUCUAAUAACUGUUCACAAAGUGUAUUUAAACAUGUAUUAAAUCAAAGCUCGUGUAAUUUUUUAUCUCCAACAUUCAGUCACCUCAAGAAGCCUCACAGAUUAAGUGUACACUGAUUUUAUAUCUUAGGGUAAAGUCAUUAUCAGUAGUAGUAGGUUUGCUGAUUUGAGCAUUUGGUGUGUUAUUUUUGCACUGUCACUCUAAUUAUGCAUAUCCCUCUUCCAGCCAGUGUGAUCCAUCCACAGGAGCACGUACAGUAGGUACCACAAACCGGACACUGCAUGCCCCAUGUGUGUCCCAGACAAAAAGCAGGCCCUCACUGAUUAGAACCAAAGCACUCGACCCUGACGCAAGCAUCAGCACAUCGCUACUAACCAGUCAUCAGACUCCCGCUGAGUACGGCUCAUCUCACAACGGACUUAUCAGCCUUUUCAGCUCCUCUGACAUUUCCAGAAACUCAGCCGGCUGACUAUCAUUUGCUUGCAUUUUUCUAAAAUGUACAUUUUUCUGUAGUUAUGACAUUUUGAUAAGUAAGUCCAGUUUCUCAUAUAAAUGUAAGAGUUAUACUUGUGAA